GCAGGCGUGGCGCAAUUUGGCAGACGCGUUGGAUUUAGGUUCCAAAUGUUGUGAGUUCGAGUCUCACCGCCUGCACCA
rnacentral:tRNA from 1 species